GAGGAAAGAUUUAAACCAUAUUUGAAUAGGUGAAGAACGAAAAUGAAAAUGAAAAUGGGGAGAAAAUGGAGCUAGUACAUAAGCUUCGAGAAAGAAGAAGAAGAGAAAAUGAGAACAGGAGAAGAAGAAGAAGACAAGAAGCCAGCAGCCGAGAAGGAAACCGAGUUCUUCUCGUAGCUCCUCGAGUCGCAACUAAGUUGAGCUGAUUUGGAAUCCUUUUGCUUAGGUUUAGAUCUUUAGAUCAAUCUCAAUCUGAACCUACGAAGAUGUGAAUGAGAUGAGAAGGAGACGUCAAUCAUAUGCGAAAGAGGAAGGCACAGACAGAUAUAUAUGUCAAUGUGCUGUGCACAAUAACGUGAUGUGUUUGAUUUUCUAAUGGAUGUCUUUUUGUGUGAUUUUUCUUUUCAAAUUUAAUGCAUUUGUGUGUCUAGACUCUAGAUGGCCACGAGGCCCACGACUGGAUCGGCAAGGGAGUAGAGGCAUAUUGAAGACGGAUGAAUCCUAGACGUUGAAUUGUGGCCCAAGUUAGGGUUGCUUGUUUUCUAAGAGAUUAUUAAGUGGGUUAGAAGGAUGAGUAGAGCUGUAGAGGCAUAUUGGGGUUGCGUGAAGACGGAUGAACCCUAGACGUUGUAUUGUGGCUCAAGUUAGGGCUGCUUGUUUUCUAAGAGAUUAUUAAGUGGGUUAAAAGGAUGACUAUCAAACUUUGAACAGAAACCUUAGCGAGAUAUAGAAGAUGGAGAGAGAAUCUCAUCUUUCGACUCCUGAUCCCAGCUCCUAUGAUAUUUUUGAUUUUGCCUCAUUAUCAACAAUUGAUGUCUCUAUAUGAUUUUAUUUGAGGAUAAUGCGUAACAGUGUAACACACAAGUUAUCUAUGUUGUAUAUUAUUAGGAGAGACUUCAUAAUUUCUUUACUGGAUCGGAACAGAGCCAAGGGUAUGUAUCUC